rnacentral:misc_RNA from 1 species
CUGGGUUAAAAACAGGCUUUCUAGCCUGCCACCCGCCCUCUGUCAUUCGCAAUUAUCUUGCUUCGGCCGCUGGUUGCGCGAGUGUACUCUGUAUGUUCGCGGGGCCACGGUCGGUCUCCCAACUCUUUGAAUAUAUGUAUGAAGUCUGAAGAAAAAGAUAAAUGAAAAGCA